AUGGAAAAGGGAAGAGCAGUGAGCAGGGAAAUCCCACCUAAAGGGAUUCCCAGCUGGCAGUGGAGUUUAGGGCCUUUAGCCCCCAGUAAUUUGGGGUUUAAAGGCCAAAUCCCAAACGACCCCCGGGCAGCACAAAAGGGAAGGGGCAGAGCACAGAACAGGACUGAAGUGUGCAGGAAGUUUUGUACCCAAGAGACGGGAGCCAAAUCCCUUUUCCAAGGGGACAGAGGAGCUGCCAGCCCCCAUCCCAUAUCCCACAUCCCACUCCCAGGCUGCCCCCACAGGCUCCUCCAUCCCAAAUCCCCCACAGGACAGCCCCAGGGGCUGUGGGGUCGGGCUGGGGUAGAUAUGGUAUCACUCACCCCAAAACUGCCCCAUCCCACAGCAGCACUGGCCCCUUAUCAGAGCCCGGGCACCCCUCCUGGGGCUGAUAACGGGAACGGGGAGGGAGGGACCCCAAAACACCCAGAUCCUGCGGGGACAGCGGGGUGGGCCAUGGGAGGGGCUUGGGGUCGUGGGUGGGAUCAUUGGGAUCGUCUGUGGGGUCGGGUGGGCAUCACUGGGAUCGUCUGUGGCACUGUGGGUGGCAUUACUGGGAGUGUCUGUGGGGUCAUUGGGAUCGUCUGUGGGAUCACUGGGUGCGCCUGUGGGAUCAGGGGGGCAUCAUUGGGAUCAUCUGUGGGAUCAGAGGUGGCAUUAUUGGGAUUGUCUGUGGGAUCAUGGGGAUGGUCUGUGGGAUUAGGGGUGGGCUCACUGGGAUCCUCUGUGGGAUCAGGGGUGGCAUCAUUGGGAUCCUCUGUGGGAUCACUGGGAUCCUCUGUGGGAUCAGGGGUGGCAUCAUUGGGAUCCUCUGUGGGAUCACUGGGAUCCUCUGUGGGAUCAGGGGUGGCAUCAUUGGGAUCCUCUGUGGGAUCACUGGGAUCCUCUGUGGGAUCAGGGGUGGCAUCAUUGGGAUCCUCUGUGGGAUCACUGGGAUCCUCUGUGGGAUCAGGGGUGGCAUCAUUGGGAUCCUCUGUGGGAUCACUGGGAUCCUCUGUGGGAUCAGGGGUGGCAUCAUUGGGAUCCUCUGUGGGAUCACUGGGAUCCUCUGUGGGAUCAGGGGUGGCAUCAUUGGGAUCCUCUGUGGGAUCACUGGGAUCCUCUGUGGGAUCAGGGGUGGCAUCAUUGGGAUCCUCUGUGGGAUCACUGGGAUCCUCUGUGGGAUCAGGGGUGGCAUCAUUGGGAUCCUCUGUGGGAUCACUGGGAUCCUCUGUGGGAUCAGGGGUGGGCUCACUGGGAUUGUCUAUGGGAUCACUGGGAUCCUCUGUGGGAUCCUCUGUGGGAUCACCGGGCUCCUCUGUGGGGUCUGCCCGGCCCCAGAGCCAGGCAGGGACACGGGGGGUCCCGCUGGUCCCCAUGGGGUGGGGGGGACACCCGGCACACAAAGGGACCGAGGGGGGCACGGGACAGCCCGGGGGGGACAGCAGGUCCUGGAAGGGACACGGGCAGCACCAGGCAGGGACAGCAGGUCCUGGAGCAGACACAGGAAGGGACUCGGGAGCGAGACGAGAGAGGACACCAGGUCCUGGAAGGAACAAGGGGGGCACCAAGCAGGGACACCAGGACCUGGAGAGGACACGGGGGGCACUCGAGAGGGAGACACCAGGUCCUGGAAGGAACAAGGAGGGUCACUCGGGAGGGGACACCAGGUCCUGGAAGGCACACGGGGGAUACUCGGGAGGGACAGCAGGUCCUGGAAGGUACACGGUGGGGGGAGGACGGCAGGUCCUGGAAGGCACAAAGGCACACGGGGGCGGGGGGAAGUGGGGGGACGGCAGGUCCUGGAAACAGGGAUACAGGGACAGAUGGACAGGGGGACAUAGAGAUGGGGGACAGGGAGACACAGGGAUAGAGGGACAGGGGGACAGGGAUAGGGACGCGGGGACACAGGGAUAG
ensembl:lncRNA